GACGAACGCUGGCGGCGUGCUUAACACAUGCAAGUCGAGCGGUAAGGCCCUUUCGGGGGUACGACGAGCGGCGAACGGGUGAGUAACACGUGGGUGACCUGCCCUCAGCUCUGGGAUAAGCCCGGGAAACUGGGUCUAAUACCGGAUAUGACUCCAUGACGCAUGUUGUGGGGUGGAAAGCCUUGUGCGGCUGAGGAUGGGCCCGCGGCCUAUCAGCUUGUUGGUGGGGUGAUGGCCACCAAGGCGACGACGGGUAGCCGGCCUGAGAGGGCGACCGGCCGACACUGGGACUGAGAUACGGCCCAGACUCCUACGGGAGGGCAGCAGUGGGGAAGUCUUGCGCAAUGGGCGAAAGCCUGACGCAGCGACGCCGCGUGAGGGAUGACGGCCU
rnacentral:rRNA from 1 species